rnacentral:rRNA from 1 species
UCUUACCUAUGGGAGGCAGCAGUAGGGAAUCUUCCACAAUGGACGAAAGUCUGAUGGAGCAACGCCGCGUGAGUGAAGAAGGGUUUCGGCUCGUAAAACCCUGUUGUUAGAGAAGAAAGUGCGUGAGAGUAACUGUUCACGUUUCGACGGUAUCUAACCAGAAAGCCACGGCUAACUACGUGCCAGCAGCCGCGGUAAUACGUAGGUGGCAAGCGUUAUCCGGAUUUAUUGGGCGUAAAGGGAACGCAGGCGGUCUUUUAAGUCUGAUGUGGAAGCCUUCGGCUUAACCGGAGUAGUGCAUUGGA